rnacentral:rRNA from 1 species
AACGAACGCUGGCGGCAUGCCUAACACAUGCAAGUCGAACGAAGGCUUCGGCCUUAGUGGCGCACGGGUGAGUAACACGUGGGAACCUGCCUUAUGGUUCGGGAUAACGUCUGGAAACGGACGCUAACACCGGAUGUGCCCUUCGGGGGAAAGUUUACGCCAUGAGAGGGGCCCGCGUCCGAUGAGGUAGUUGGUGGGGUAAUGGCCCACCAAGCCGACGAUCGGUAGCUGGUCUGAGAGGAUGAUCAGCCACACUGGGACUGAGACACGGCCCAGACUCCGACGGGAGGCAGCAGUGGGGAAUAUUGGGCAAGGGGGGCAACCCUGAUCCAGCAAUGCCGCGUGAGUGAUGAAGGCCUUAGGGUUGUAAAGCUCUUUCGCACGCGACGAUGAUGACGGUAGCGUGAGAAGAAGCCCCGGCUAACUUCGUGCCAGCCGCCGCCGUAAAAC